rnacentral:rRNA from 1 species
UACAGAGGGUGCGAGCGUUAAUCGGAGUGACUGGGCGUAAAGGGUGCGUAGGCGGUUAGAUUAGUCUGAUGUGAAAGACCUGGGCUUAACCUGGGAUGUGCAUUGGAAACGGUCUAGCUAGAGUUUGAGAGAGGGAAGUGGAAUUUCCGGUGUAGCGGUGAAAUGCGUAGAGAUCGGGAAGAACACCAAUGGCGAAGGCAGCUCGCUGGGACGUGACUGACGCUGAGACGCGAAAGCGUGGGGAGCAAACAGG